rnacentral:rRNA from 1 species
CCUACGGGAGGCAGCAGUAAGGAAUAUUGGUCAAUGGGCGGAAGCCUGAACCAGCCAUGCCGCGUGCAGGACGACUGCCCUACGGGUUGUAAACUGCUUUUGUACGGGAACAAACCCCACUACGCGUAGUGGGCUGAGUGUACCGUAAGAAUAAGGAUCGGCUAACUCCGUGCCAGCAGCCGCGGUAAU